rnacentral:rRNA from 1 species
UACAGAGGGUGCGAGCGUUUGUUCGGAAUUAUUGGGCGUAAAGGGCGCGUAGGCGGCGCCACAAGUCACUUGUGAAAACUCUGGGCUCAACUCAGAGCCUGCAAGCGAAACUGUGGUGCUGGAGUAUGGGAGAGGUGCGUGGAAUUCCCGGUGUAGCGGUGAAAUACGUAGAUAGUCGGGAGGAACACCUGUGGCGAAGGCGAGUCCCUGGACAACUCCUGACACUGAGGCACGAAAGCUAGGGGAGCAAACAGG